AAAUCUGUCUUAUAGUGAACUGACUGGUGAAAUAUCCCCUUCCUUCAGUGAACUUUCAGCAAUCAAUUAUCUGGAUCUAUCUUACAAUAACUUGACUGGAAUGAUACCUGAUGUAUUAGGAAAAUUAUCCCAGCUUAAAGUUCUAUAUUUAAUGCAAACCAACAUUGAUAAGAC